rnacentral:tRNA from 1 species
GGCACGAUAGUUUAAUUGAGAAAGUGACAGGAACGCUAUAUUACGGAUGUUGCAGGUUCGAGUCCUGCUCGCGUCG